rnacentral:rRNA from 1 species
GACGAACGCUGGCGGCGUGCUUAACACAUGCAAGUCGAGCGGAAAGGCCACUUCGGUGGUACUCGAGCGGCGAACGGGUGAGUAACGCGUGAGUAAUCUGCCCCUGGCUUUGGGAUAGCCACCGGAAACGGUGAUUAAUACCGGAUACGACCACUUCUCGCAUGGGAUGGUGGUGGAAAGUUUUUUCGGCCAGGGAUGUGCUCGCGGCCUAUCAGCUUGAUGGUGAGGUAAUGGCUCACCAUGGCUUCGACGGGUAGCCGGCCUGAGAGGGUGACCGGGCACACUGGGACUGAGACACGGCCCAGACUCCUACGGGAGGCAGCAGUGGGGAAUAUUGGACAAUGGGCGGAAGCCUGAUCCGGCAACGCCGCGUGAGGGAUGACGGCCUUCGGGUUGUAAACCUCUUUCAGCAGGGACGAAGCGCAAGUGACGGUACCUGCAGAAGAAGCACCGGCCAACUACGUGCCAGCCGCCGCAGUAA